GUAGGUGGCAAGCGUUGUCCGGAAUUAUUGGGCGUAAAGCGCGCGCAGGUGGUUCUUUAAGUCUGAUGUGAAAGCCCCCGGGCUCAACCGGGGAGGGUCAUUGGAAACUGGGGAACUUGAGUGCAGGAGAGGAAAGUGGAAUUCCACGUGUAGCGGUGAAAUGCGUAGAUAUGUGGAGGAACACCAGUGGCGAAGGCGACUUUCUGGCCUGUAACUGACACUGAGGCGCGAAAGCGUGGGGAGCAAACAGGAUUCGAUACCCUGGUAGUCCACGCCGUAAACGAUGAGUGCUAAGUGUUGGGGGGUUUCCGCCCCUCAGUGCUGCAGCUAACGCAUUAAGCACUCCGCCUGGGGAGUACGGUCGCAAAGACUG
rnacentral:rRNA from 1 species